rnacentral:RNase_P_RNA from 1 species
AGAGAUCUUCGGAUGAUCGCGAUAUAUGAUAUCGAGGAACUUCCGGGCUCCACAGAGUACGAUGGCGGAUAACGUCCGCCCAGGGCAACCUGAGAGAUAGCGCAACAGAAAACAAACCGCUUCUUCGGAAGUAAGGGUGAAACGGCGGUGUAAGAGACCACCAGAUCGUUGGUAACAAUCGAUUGUUUGGCAAGCCUCAUCGGGAGCAAGAUCAAGCAGAAUGCUAUGGGGUUACUCGCUCCGCAUUCGGGUAGAUCGCUUGAAUUAAUCGGUAACGAUUAAUCUAGAUGGAUGAUCAUCUAUAUAGAUUUAUCUAUAUAACAAAACCCGGGGUAUAGAAGGUCUCUCUCU